rnacentral:rRNA from 1 species
UACGUAGGGUGCGAGCGUUGUCCGGAAUUAUUGGGCGUAAAGAGCUCGUAGGCGGCUUGUCGCGUCGGCUGUGAAAGCCCGGGGCUUAACUCCGGGUCUGCAUUCGAUACGGGCAGGCUAGAGUUCGGUAGGGGAGAUCGGAAUUCCUGGUGUAGCGGUGAAAUGCGCAGAUAUCAGGAGGAACACCGGUGGCGAAGGCGGGUCUCUGGGCCGAUACUGACGCUGAGGAGCGAAAGCAUGGGUAGCGAACAGG